UGGCUCAGACGGUAAAGCGUCUGCCUGCAAUGCAGAAGACCCGGGUUCGAUUCCUGG
rnacentral:tRNA from 1 species